UACGAAGGGGGCUAGCGUUGUUCGGAAUUACUGGGCGUAAAGCGUGCGCAGGCGGCUUUUUAAGCCAGAGGUGAAAUCCCGGAGCUUAACUCCGGAACUGCCUUUGGUACUGCAAGUCUGGAGUCCGGAAGAGGUGAGUGGAAUUCCUAGUGUAGAGGUGAAAUUCGUAGAUAUUAGGAAGAACACCAGUGGCGAAGGCGGCUCACUGGUCCGGUACUGACGCUGAGGUGCGAAAGCGUGGGGAGCAAACAGG
rnacentral:rRNA from 1 species